GACGUAGGGCGCGAGCGUUGUCCGGAUUUAUUGGGCGUAAAGAGCUCGUAGGCGGCUUGUUGCGUCAGCUGUGAAAACCCGCAGCUCAACUGUGGGCUUGCAGCUGAUACGGGCAGGCUUGAGUUCGGUAGGGGAGACUGGAAUUCCUGGUGUAGCGGUGAAAUGCGUAGAUAUUAGGAAGAACACCAGUGGCGAAGGCGGCUCACUGGCCCGAUACUGACGCUGAGGUGCGAAAGCGUGGGGAGCAAACAGGG
rnacentral:rRNA from 1 species